GACGAACGCUGGCGGCGUGCUUAACACAUGCAAGUCGAACGGAAAGGCCCUGCUUUUGUUGGUUUCUCGAGUGGCGAACGGGUGAGUAACACGUGAGUAACCUGCCCUUGACUUUGUGGUAACUUCAGGAAACUGGGGCUAAUACCGGAUAGGAGCUCCUGCUGCAUGGUGUGGGUUGGAAAGUUUCGGCGGUUGGGGAUGGACUCGCGGCUUAUCAGCUUGUUUGUGGGGUAGUGGCUUACCAAGGCUUUGACGGGUAGCCGGCCUGAGAGGGUGACCGGCGACCUGAGGCCUACGAUACGGAGCAGAAUCGUAUGGGAGGCAGCAGGGGGGAAUAUGGCGCAAUGGGGGGAAGUCAGAGACAGCAACGCUGCGUGCGGAAUGCCGGCCUUCGGGUUGUAAACAGCUUUCGACUGAGCCGAAGCGUGCGUGACGGUAAUGGGUCAAGAAGCAACGGCUAACUACGUG
rnacentral:rRNA from 1 species